rnacentral:rRNA from 1 species
CAGUAGCCGCGGUAAUACAGAGGGUGCAAGCGUUAAUCGGAAUUACUGGGCGUAAAGCGCGCGUAGGUGGUUUGCCAAGUUGGAUGUGAAAUCCCCGGGCUCAACCUGGGAACUGCAUCCAAAACUGGCGAGCUAGAGUAUGGUAGAGGGUGGUGGAAUUUCCUGUGUAGCGGUGAAAUGCGUAGAUAUAGGAAGGAACAUCAGUGGCGAAGGCGACCACCUGGACUGAUACUGACACUGAGGUGCGAAAGCGUGGGGAGCAAACAGGAUUAGAUACCCGAGUAGUCCCUGUCUCUUAUAC